GACGAACGCUGGCGGCGUGCUUAACACAUGCAAGUCGAACGGUGAAGGGGUCUGCUUUUGUGGGCCCUGGAUGAGUGGCGAACGGGUGAGUAACACGUGAGUAACCUGCCCCCUUCUUCUGGAUAACCGCAUGAAAGUGUGGCUAAUACGGGAUAUUCUGGGUCUGUCGCAUGAUGGGUCUGGGAAAGAUUGCGCCUUUGGGUGUUUUUGGUGGGGGAUGGGCUCGCGGCCUAUCGGCUUGUUGGUGGGUUGAUGGGGGACCAAGGCGGUGAAGGGGAGCCGGCGUGAGAGGGUGGACGGUCACACUGGGACUGAGACACGGCCCAGACUCCUACGGGAGGCAGCAGUGGGGAAUAUUGCACAAUGGGCGCAAGCCUGAUGCAGCGACGCCGCGUGAGGGAUGGAGGCCUUCGGGUUGUAAACCUCUUUCGACAGUGAAGCAGGCCUGCUCCUUGUGGGUGGGUUGACGGUAGCUGGAUAAGAAGCGCCGGCUAACUACGUG
rnacentral:rRNA from 1 species